rnacentral:ncRNA from 1 species
UCCUAAAUUAAUGUCAACCUGGAUGACCUGGGGAGCAGAAGGGCAAAAGCUCGCUUGAUCUUGAUUUUCAGUACGAAUACAGACCGUGAAAGCGGGG